CCGUCGUAGUCCGGAUUGGAGUCUGCAACUCGACUCCAUGAAGUCGGAAUCGCUAGUAAUCGUAGAUCAGAAUGCUACGGUGAAUACGUUCCCGGGCCUUGUACACACCGCCCGUCACACCAUGGGAGUGGGUUGCAAAAGAAGUAGGUAGCUUAACCUUCGGGAGGGCGCUUACCACUUUGUGAUUCAUGACUGGGGUGAAGUCGUAACAAGGUAACCGUAGGGGAACCUGCGGUUGGAUCACCUCCUUA
rnacentral:rRNA from 1 species